ACCUGAUUCUUCGGAUGAAAGUUUGGUGACUGAGUGGCGGACGGGUGAGUAACGAGUGGGUAACCUGCCCUGUACAGGGGGAUAACAGCUGGAAACGGCUGCUAAUACCGCAUAAGCGCACGAGGAGACAUCUCCUUGUGUGAAAAACUCCGGUGGUACAGGAUGGGCCCGCGUCUGAUUAGCUGGUUGGCAGGGUAACGGCCUACCAAGGCAACGAUCAGUAGCCGGUCUGAGAGGAUGAACGGCCACAUUGGAACUGAGACACGGUCCAAACUCCUACGGGAGGCAGCAGUGGGGAAUAUUGCACAAUGGGGGAAACCCUGAUGCAGCAACGCCGCGUGAGUGAAGAAGUAUUUCGGUAUGUAAAGCUCUAUCAGCAGGGAAGAUAAUGACGGUACCUGACUAAGAAGCUCCAGCUAAAUACGUGCCAGCAGCCGCGGUAAUACGUAUGGAGCAAGCGUUAUCCGGAUUUACUGGGUGUAAAGGGUGCGUAGGUGGCAGUGCAAGUCAGAUGUGAAAGGCCGGGGCUCAACCCCGGAGCUGCAUUUGAAACUGCAUAGCUAGAGUACAGGAGAGGCAGGCGGAAUUCCUAGUGUAGCGGUGAAAUGCGUAGAUAUUAGGAGGAACACCAGUGGCGAAGGCGGC
rnacentral:rRNA from 1 species